UCCGGUUUAACACCGGCAGUCUUUCCAGAGUCCCCGACAUUACUCGCUGGCAACUGGAAACAAGGGUUUCGCUCGUUAUGGGACUUAACCCGACAUCUCACGACACGAGCUGACGACAGCCAUGCAGCACCUGUAUCAGACUCAGGAUUGGAUACCUUCGCCUCCCGUUUCCGGGAGACUACCAUCUGACGCUUUCGCACAUGUCAAGCCCAGGAUAAGGUUCUUCGCGUAGCCUCGAAUUGAGCCACAUGCUCCACCGCUUGUGUGAGCCCCCGUCAAUUUCUUUGAGUUUCAGCCUUGCGACCAUACUCCCCAGGCGGGGUACUUAACACUUUUGCUUCGACUGUAAACCCAUGAUUAGUCUACAAUCUAGUACCCAUCGUUUAGGGCUAGGACUAC
rnacentral:misc_RNA from 1 species